rnacentral:misc_RNA from 1 species
GAUGAAGAACGUAGCGAAAUGCGAUAAGUAAUGUGAAUUGCAGAAUUCAGUGAAUCAUCGAAUCUUUGAACGCACAUUGCGCCCGCCAGUAUUCUGGCGGGCAUGCCUGUUCGAGCGUCAUUUCAACCAUCAAGCCCCCGGCUUGUGUUGGGGACCUGCGGCUGCCGCAGGCCCUGAAAACCAGUGGCGGGCUCGCUGUCACACCGAGCGUAGUAGAUUUUCAUCUCGCUCAGGGCGUGCUGCGGGUUCCGGCCGUAAAAAGCCUUAUUUACCCAAGGUUGACCUCGGAUCAGGUAGGAAGACCCGCUGAACUUAAGCAUAUCAAUAAGCGGAGGAA